ACGAUGGAGUAACCUUCGGGAGCUAGUUGUCUAAGGUGGGACAGAUGAUUAGGGUGAAGUCGUAACAAGGUAGCCGUAGGAGAACCUGCGGCUGGAUCACCUCCUUUCUAAGGA
rnacentral:rRNA from 1 species